rnacentral:misc_RNA from 1 species
CGAAUCGCCUGGUGUACGAAACGAUCAUUACCUCUUUCUCUGGCUGGAGCUGGCCUCUUAAGAGUCUCCUUCACCUUUAAGCAACUAAUAAAAACUCUGCCACACUACAGCAUAUAGCACAAAUUUCUUCACUCCACGUCCCUGUACCUAAAAUGCUGAAGACAGCUCUCUACAACUGAAAUACACCCGAUAAUUCAGGGUUCUGCAGAAGAUUUCACAGCCAAAUCAAGAACCCCAAUUCUUGGCCUUCACCCGCCACCCCGAUCAAGUUUAAGAAUGUAGUGUCCGAUGCAUACAAUGCAGGUGAACCUUACUUAACAUCAGGGUUAGGUUCCUGAAAACUGCAGCUUUAACUGAAAUUAUGGUUGUGCGAGGGCCUUACCUGUACUUCUGAAGAAUGUGGAUUGACGUCCAGAACUUCAUUCUUCGGUUGGAAGGUCUCUUAAAUUGCAGAAAUGGGUGUAAGGCGUGGAAACCUACAUGUCAAUGUUCGCGAAUGAUGCAAAAUUAAUGAAGUUGACAGAUGAUGAUUGUAGGAUCCUCCAAGAGGACCUGGACAGGUUCCAGAUAUGCAGAGACAUGGCUACUAGGUUCAACAAGAGUAAAUUUUAAAGGUGCUUAGGGAUCUUCAGUGAUAGCAUCCAGGAACAUUAGUUUACCACAACCUGAAAAUGUAAAUACUUAAUGAAAUCAAAUACUGUACAAUGUAUACCCUUAAUAUUUUAAUAAAUUUGUAAAUGGCAAA